rnacentral:rRNA from 1 species
UACGUAGGGGGCUAGCGUUGUCCGGAAUCAUUGGGCGUAAAGCGCGCGUAGGCGGCCCGGUAAGUCCGCUGUAAAAGUCCAGGGCUCAACCCUGGAAAGCCGGUGGAUACUGUCGGGCUCGAGUCCGGAAGAGGCGAGUGGAAUUCCUGGUGUAGCGGUGAAAUGCGCAGAUAUCAGGAGGAACACCAAUUGCGAAGGCAGCUCGCUGGGACGUUACUGACGCUGAGACGCGAAAGCGUGGGGAGCAAACAGG